rnacentral:lncRNA from 1 species
AGUCGGGCGGCGGGCUGGAGCCUAGCACAACUAGCGCCAGGCGCUAGGCAGAUUUAAGUAAAUCUAUUGUAUUUCGUGUAAAUAAGUGUCUGUUUAUAGUUAAAAUAUAUAUAAUUUCAUCAUAAACUAUAAAAUAUAAUGACAUAUAUAUUAUGAAGUAUUGGAACAUAAUGAAAACAUGGGGAGAAAACAUAUAAUGUGUGUUUAUUUAAGUGUUCAAGAAGUCUCUUACAAUUUAUUGGAAACAAUAAAAUGCAAAAGGAAAUUUAUCUAUUUUCAAUCUAAGUGAGUUGCAACCUAGGCGGGUGUCUAGGCGGGUCUAAACGGGCUAAGUGGGUGCUUAAGGCGGUUUAAGCAGGUGCCUCAACAGGUCUAGGCACCAUUUCUUAAUUUUCAAACGCCUAAGCAUUAAUCGGGGCGGUGGCCAGCCACUUAGUGCUUAGACGGCGCUAGGCAACGAUUUUUAGAACAGUGUGCUCAAUAAAAGGAAUUAGCGAAGCUUGUCAACUGUAUCAAAAUAAUUAUGUUGGAGUUGAGUUGUAUAGCAAGCAAAAUUAAGAUCUAGAAAAAGAGGGGGUGUGCAGGAAGUGAAAAAGAUUGUAUAAGUCACUUCCAUGCUGAAAGUUUUUUUUUUUUUUACAUAGAAAUUCCUUUAACAAAAUUUUAUGUUCUUAGAAACUUCGUUCCAAAAACAAUGCGCAUAAGUGAUUUAUGGUAUGCCCGAUCAUCUUCUAACUUUGGACAAAAUUUAAAAGCUGUUUUUUUCUUUGCUUCGACAUACAUAGAAACUAAUGAGCCUCCACUCAUCCCAGCCUAAACGCCAAAUGUGGCAUGUUUCUUUAUGGUAAAUUGUAAUUUAUUACUUUGCUAGCAAAUUGUAACGAUCUAUGUUUUUUUUAUGUUGUCGGACAUGUCUCACCUAAUAAAAUAAACAGACAAAUAAGCGUAUGCAGUCCAUUACACGUACAAGUUUUUCUUCUUGUGGAAAGAUCAAUUCUUUUUAGUUAAUCUCAACUUUGCGGAGGAAAUCUUGUAUAUGUCAAUGUAAACCUAAUCUAAGAUUUACAUACUACCUAGUAUCGUCACUUCAUGAUGUUAUUUUGUAUUCUCAUAAGCACAACAUCAACAAAAUACUAUGACCCAAGAAUUUUCAUACUCCUUAAAUAAUGGAAUUUUAAUAGAAGUAGAACUGUUGAUAAUGAGUAUGCAUAAGUUUAUAAGGAGUUGAGCUACUCUCCAUAUGUCAUAUUGUAUGAGUUUUUAAGUUAAUCUCAACUUUCUUCAAAAACUCAAUUAUACAAGCAAAUUUCAUCUUUAUUUAGAGUAAGAUAUAUAAACAUAAUACAUGUACCAUUACUCUCGUGAUUAAUGAGGCAUCUUAUUCCAUAUCAAAACCUUGUAUGUAAAGUAUUGACUAAGAAAUAGCUAACAUGGAUCUCUCUCGCCGAAAACACAAACACAUCCGCCGACCCUAGUCCCUUGGCUUGGGUGCCUGUGGCAACCCCCUUUUUUCUCCUCCUUAUCUUCCCUUUUUCUCGUAUUUCAAUUUUCUUUUUUAGCUUUGUCUCAGUUUUCUUUGAGCUUAAUUGGUCUCAAAUUUUCUUUUGAGCUUGUCUCGAAUUUGGGCUUCAUGACUCUUCCUUAAUGUUCAUCGUAGCAUCUCCGACACUUUUCAUUAGUUUUCACUGCCUUUCAUUAUUUAGUUUUCCACCCUCUCUCUCCUAUGGUCGUGCCUUAUCAAAUCCAAACCUCCAUCUCCCCCAUCCUUUCCAUUUACCUCCCUUCUUUAUGACUCAUUCCCACCCCAUCCUUUGCUUCGAUUUGUGGCUCUGAACAGAAAAUGGAUGCCAGACUUCCCUCACUUUCCUUCCCCGUCUAGCAUGCUGAAACCCCCUCGAGGCCAAGUGUUCUGCGGCUUCAGCCAAAGUAAGGUAACCCUUAGCCUCACAUUUAUCUAUGUGUUACUAUUUUUGUAUAUAUUUUUAGAGGUUGGUGAAGGAAAUUUGGAUCCAAUGACUAUUUCUUAGUUUCGCGUUUCCAAUGACGAAAUCUUAUUGUGGUGUGCUUUUGGUUACAAAUUUGUAAUUUUUGUGCUACAAUGUCUUGGUCAAGUUGACCACUUAGCCAUUUUCUCUAUUGUUGUUGCCUUGAUGCUAGCAAGAUGUUCACGACGGCGACGACGGGAGCUGCUUUAUGCGUUUGGAGGAUAGGGUUGAGGCUUUUAGUUUGUUUGCUUAUUGUGUUGGGCUUUUGCAUUUCUGAUUUCCCCAGUAUAUUUUGAGUUAUUUUGUCUUCUCUUGAGUUAGCCUGUAACAUAUUUUCUGCUUAAUAAAUCAUAGUUUUCGACAACAAAAAAUGAAAAAAAAAAAAGAGUACCGACUACACCCAGUUUCCAAUGUUAGCCCACCUUUAUGUCAUGACAUCAUGAAAGAUUCAGACUAUGGGAGAUCUUUGUUGGACACGGAUUGUCUGCCCUCCCAUUUUCUGUGAUCAUCCGUGCCCUCUUGUUUGUAUGGUUACUGUUAAAUCACGUUAACAUUUUAUAUUAUCUUUUUAUAGAGAUAAUAAGAUAAAAAUAAAUAAUAAUAUAAAAUGUUGACAUGGUUUAAUCGUGACCACAUAAAACAUGAGGGCACGGAAGACAUGGGAAAUGGGAGGGCAGCAAUCAUUGUCCAUCUUUGUUUCGUUUGCCGAAAACAAACCUAUGAUUUGACUAGACCUCUUACCCCCAUGCUAUCGGACGGCCGAUAUGUGGCUAUCAUGUUAUACGUGGCAUCUGAUUUCAUGCGUCCGAGAAAGAGUGGGCCAUGAACGCAAGGGACCAAAGUUGACCACCUGGGCGUAUAUGAGCAAGAACAAUGCAGAGUAAAAGAUGCUCAAGUACAUGACCAACUCAACUCAUUUUUGUCACUACAUUUUGGGCAACAUUUUGACAAGUGUUGCUUGGCCUAAUUGUUAGCUUAGUCGUUUUAAUUUUUCCAAAAAUCCAUGUUUAGUUCGCUAUCAAAAUAAGCCAUAUGUAGUCAUUUAAUGAAGUUCGUCAGAAUCACUAACCAAUUCAGUUCAAUGUUUUUAUUCAAUUACCACAUGUUAUUUAAAACAUAACAAGAAGUUUGAUAAAAUGUCUCAACGAGAAAGUAAAGAACAUCAUAAUAAAUUGCUAACAAAGACUUCAAUUUGACCUCGUUAAAAUGCCUCAAAAUGAAGUCAAGUACGUAUCGAAGCAGUGUUUUUUAACUUUAAUCAUUCAAGAAAAUUGAAAUUUAAAAUAAACCUAGUAUUAGAUUACAUAUUAAUUAUAGUUCCUUGAUGUGUUCUUAAUUCAAAAUAAUUAAUGUGCAUUUUAUUUAAUGUCUCCCAAUAAAUAUUUAACUUUAUUAAUAUACAAAUUUUAAUUUAUUUUUUGACCAAAAAAAAGUUUUUUUUUUUAAUUUAUUAAUUUUAUUUAACAUUCUUCAAACUUGAAAGACUCAAUUAAUGUACCUAAAUGUAUGUACCGAAAUGUAUUAUAUUGAACUAAUGUAUUUAAAUGUUAGUACCGAAAUGUAUGUACUAAAAUAUAUACACCGAAAUGUAUUAUAUUAAAUUAAUAUAUCAUAAAUGUGUGUACCGAAAUGUAUGCACCGAAAUGUAUUAUAUUAAAUUAAUAUACCAUAAAUGUGUGUACCGAAAUGUAUGCACCGAAAUGUAUUAUAUUGAAUUAAUGUACAUAAAUGUCUGUAUCGAAAUGUGUCACAUCUCGGCCCGAGAUUGUAAGAUCUCACAUCGCCCAAGGGAGUGGAUCAUGUAAGCUUUAUAUGUAUAUUCUCAUCUCUAUCUAACACGAUGCCUUUUGGGAGCUCAUUGGCUUCAGGUUCUGUAGGAACUCCAAAGUUAAGCGAGUUCGUGCGAGAGCAUUCCCAGGAUGGGUGAUCCACUGAGAAGUUUUCGUGUGAAUUCCCAGAAACAAAACCAUGAGGGCGUGGUCAGAGCCCAAAGCGGACAAUAUCGUGCUACGGUGGGGAGUCGAGCCCGGGAUGUGGUGAGGGCUCGGGUCGGGAUGUGACAAAAUGUAUGUACCGAAAUGUGUGUACCUAAAUGUAUGCACCGAAAUGUAUUAUAAUGAAUUUAAUGUACCUAAAUGAAUAAAAGACAAAAUACAUCGAAAUAUAUUGUAUAACAAGAAUUAGUAUAUCUAAAUGUUUAC